GCGGGGGUGGCGGAACUAGGUAGACGCGCCAGCCUUAGGAGCUGGUGGGAUUUCCCGUGCAGGUUCGAUUCCUGUCCCCCGUACCG
rnacentral:tRNA from 1 species